GACCACGUAGCUCAGUUGGCAGAGCAUUGGGCUAGCAUUCCAAAGGUUGUAGGUUCGAUUCCCACCGUGGUCA
rnacentral:tRNA from 1 species